ACACUCCUGCGGGAGGCAGCAGUGGGGAAUAUUGGACAAUGGGCGCAAGCCUGAUCCAGCCAUGCCGCGUGAGUGAUGAAGGCCCUAGGGUUGUAAAGCUCUUUCACCGGAGAAGAUAAUGACGGUAUCCGGAGAAGAAGCCCCGGCUAACUUCGUGCCAGCAGCCGCGGUAAUACGAAGGGGGCUAGCGUUGUUCGGAAUUACUGGGCGUAAAGCGCACGUAGGCGGAUCGAUCAGUCAGGGGUGAAAUCCCAGGGCUCAACCCUGGAACUGCCUUUGAUACUGUCGAUCUGGAGUAUGGAAGAGGUGAGUGGAAUUCCGAGUGUAGAGGUGAAAUUCGUAGAUAUUCGGAGGAACACCAGUGGCGAAGGCGGCUCACUGGUCCAUUACUGACGCUGAGGUGCGAAAGCGUGGGGAGCAAACAGGAUUAGAAACCCUAGUAGUCCCAUGAU
rnacentral:rRNA from 1 species